UACGUAGGGCGCAAGCGUUGUCCGGAAUUAUUGGGCGUAAAGAGCUCGUAGGCGGCUUGUCACGUCGGGUGUGAAAGACCGGGGCUUAACCCCGGUUCUGCAUUCGAUACGGGCUGGCUAGAGUGUGGUAGGGGAGAUCGGAAUUCCUGGUGUAGCGGUGAAAUGCGCAGAUAUCAGGAGGAACACCUAUGGCGAAGGCAGCUCGCUGGGACGGUACUGACGCUGAGGCGCGAAAGCGUGGGGAGCGAACAGG
rnacentral:rRNA from 1 species